UGGGCAUGACAACACAGAACUGCAGAGC
rnacentral:piRNA from 1 species